rnacentral:rRNA from 1 species
ACUCCUACGGGAGGCAGCAGUGGGGAAUAUUGCACAAUGGGCGCAAGCCUGAUGCAGCCAUGCCGCGUGUGUGAAGAAGGCCUUCGGGUUGUAAAGCACUUUCAGUCGUGAGGAAGGUGGUAGUGUUAAUAGCACUAUCAUUUGACGUUAGCGACAGAAGAAGCACCGGCUAACUCCGUGCCAGCAGCCGCGGUAAUACGGAGGGUGCGAGCGUUAAUCGGAAUUACUGGGCGUAAAGCGCAUGCAGGUGGUUUGUUAAGUCAGAUGUGAAAGCCCGGGGCUCAACCUCGGAAUAGCAUUUGAAACUGGCAAACUAGAGUACUGUAGAGGGGGUAGAAUUUCAGGUGUAGCGGUGAAAUGCGUAGAGAUCUGAAGGAAUACCGGUGGCGAAGGCGGCCCCUGGACAGAUACUGACACUCAGAUGCGAAAGCGUGGGAGCAAACAGGAUUAGAUACCCCGUGGUAGGACAGUG